AGCCCUGGACCAAAGGCUGGGCUGGGAGAUCAGCCAGGUGGAAACACCCACCACAGAACAGGGAGUGCUGGAUUAAUCCUUCCUGGGCCUGCAGGUUGGGGGGACCUCAGGGGAGGACAUCUGGGCUUCGGAGCUGGAGCAGCCUCUAAUUCAGCACCUUCCAGUGCAAGGAGCCACACAUGCAAGUGAGUCAGUGAUGAGAACCAACCAGGGAAAACUGGACUGCUUCCAAGGCAGCCUGUCUGGACCUGUCUUGGGAGGUGCUGCUGAUCUGAUCGGUGAGAGAAUCACGAGUUGUGCAGGUUUUGCUUGGGCCUCCCUCUUUCCCGUAGGUUUCCGCAGAGGCUGCAGCAAAUACCUGACAAGGGCUCGGGAUGCAGAAGCACAGAUGUUCCUGCAUCUGUAUAAACAGGAGAAAUGAACAGCACUCACAAAAACUACUGCAGAGACAGAAUGAGGCUUCACCAUGUGAGAUCUUGGAACAGCACCUGCUGCGCACGAUCGAUGCCUGAUACAUGUGAGCUGUCAGUAUUAUGCUUCCCAGCCUGCUCCCUCACCAACGCCCUGCUGCAAGACCUCAGGAAAAGAUAACUGCCUGAAAGCCCCUCCUAGAAGUUCCACAUGAAGAGUGGUCAGGCCAGACGCAGUGGCGCAUGUCUGUAAUUCCAUCAAGGCUGAGGCAGGAGGAUUAUGAGUUCAAAGUCAGCCUUAGCAACUUAGUGAGGCCUUGAGCAACUCAGGGGGACCCUGUCUCUAAAUAAAAUACAAAAGGGGCUGGGGAUGUGGCUCAGUGGUUAAGCACCCCUGAGUUCAAUCCCUGGAACAACAACAACAACAACCAAGUGGUCAGCUGGAGCCACAACUGAACGUUACACAGAGAUUGAGUGAGACCCCUCUAGAGCGAGAGCCUGAGUAAUCAGGAAGGGGUUGAGUGGUAGGGAUGUCCGUUAUGCAGGAUGUCCAGUUCACAUGGGGAAGUGACCACACUGACAUGGUAUUGUCAACCCUGGAUUUGUUUGUCCCCCUCAACUAGGGUCUCCAAGAUGCCCACAUAUAGAAGCCAGGGAGUCCUCAACUCCCAUGACGAUUUUUACUGUCCAGGAGAGUCCUUGUCUAUCUAUGGCACGGUAGGGGAUGGGAGGGGGGCUUGGAGAGGUAAAGGGUCAAGGCCAUAAGCCAAAGACACUCCCUUGCGUGUCUGUCUUCCUUCCUUUCUGCUUUGCUGCUGGGGGCUCAAAUCCAGGGCUUCAUAUAUGCUAGGUAAGCACUCUACCACAGAGUGGCACCUCAGUUCCUCAAAGACACCACUUUUCACAGAGACACACUGCCUUCCAUUCCUUUAGGCAGUAGGAGUACAAAGUUUUCAAGCGGUGGAAAUAACUCCACUUCUUCUCUUCCUGCCCGCCCCAGGCUUCCUUCUAUCCUCCUCUAGACCCAGGAGUCUGCCUGGGCCCUCCCCUGCUCUUGCCUGCUCUCCCUUUCCUCCUCAGGAAUGAGAGAACUCUUCUGAGACGACACGCAGCACCCCGGGCAGGAUGUUCUUGAAUCAUUUCUUCCCAGUGAUGAAAGGCCAGAGCCUUGCAGUCUGUUAAGUUUGACAGACAAUCUGUCUUCAUUUUUGAAAUGUCCCCUAAAAAGAACAAUCUGUUAUACUCUGGCCCACACAUUUGAAUGGAAAUGAAAUUAUGAAAUCUGACCCAAACAUCACAAAGGAAGGAGUAACCUUGGAGGGAAGGGAUGCAUGGGAAACUUUCUGCUGGCAGCUCAGCCCAGAAGUUGCCCUUUGUGCAUUUUCAUGGAAAUGAUGGAUACCAGUGCCCUCCGUGUGCAUGUGAGUCACACUGGAAAGACUCAUCCAGGCCAGAAAGGAGACCGCUCACUGUCGACACGGAACAUUACCCAUCCGCUGGCUUUCAAACCUGCUGAAGCGAACAUUUUGGGAAGGAAAUAGAGCAGAGCUAAAUUUCCCAGCCAUGUGAAAACAGAGAGAGGGAAGCACAUAUCCUCCAAGGAUCCCAACUUUGUCUGUGGUCUGGCUCUUAUUGCAUCCAGAAAGGCUGUCCCAAGUGCAGGGUGGUCCUCAGAACGAGCUCCCCUAUCAUCUCUCCCCUCCUCAGCAAAUUCCAGAAAGUCUAGCCAGGUUUUAUCCGGUGGGCAGACCUGACUUCAAUCUAGACCUGAGAUGUUCAAGGUCUCCCGGGGUGGGGAUCAGGGUAGAGAUUUCUGUCUUGUGAUUUCAAGUGGGAAAGAUCAUAACAGAAAUAACUAACAUUUACAGUACAUUUACUAAGCUUUGAUUACUGAGUUAAGCUCUUCCUGUGUAUUUUAAAUAUUUAAUUUGCAGGAGGAAGGUCCUUUUAUGGCCAUUUUACGAAUGUGGAAACUGAGACUGACUUCUCUUUGAAAAACCAACAAACAAGCUUGGCUGGUAAAACCUGGAGUAGGCAUGACCCUUGGAGCUCAUUCUUACUUGCUAAAGUCUGGUGCAAUACGUUCCUUUUUGGAAUGUGUCUUCUGUAGAAAUGAGACACAAAAGCCCAAGACAUCGGCUUCCAAGAGCACCCAGGGCCCAUUCUGGAAGCUCAUGUCAGGGCCUCCAUGAUGUUCAGACUCAGCAGAGGGGGCAGAUUGGGCUUUGGUCCCGCCUCUCCUCCUUUCCAUCCUAGCUUCUAAGAGUUGCCCCCCCCACCCUUCUCCCCUCCCCCCAGAGGCAUUCCACCUCUGUCCUCCUCGUUGGGCUCCUUCUUGGGGCAUGCCAUGGCUUGGGCCGUCUCGGUCUCCAAGGGGAUGGGUGAUUUAUGUCCUUUUAUUCAACAAACAGCUUUGUAUAGAAGGGAUGUGACUUGCUGAAUGCCACCAGGCGGGGGGGCAGGGAAGCUGUGCAGAAUCCCAAUGAAGCUCUCUGGGCCUGGGCAAAAUGGCAUGGGGAGACUCUGCUAUUGUGUGUGUUUGCUCUGGUGGGAGGAAGGGCAAAGCAGCCAAUCCUGAAAGGUUCCAGAUAGGGGGAUGGAGCAGCAAGGGAAGGCCCAAAGCCCCAGCGUCCUAGUUGUGCUGCCAGUGCCUGACUUUUCUCAAUUUUCCAUGCCCUCCUGGCACUCUGUAGGAGUAGGCCUCCUCGUCCCUGGACAAAAAUUAGGAGGGGCUCCUUUCUGUGGGGCUGAGUGAGUUCAGAGGCGGAGUGUGCCAGGACCUUAGAACCCUUGGCUGCAGAAUAAAUUGAGGGGCAUGGAGACAUUCACUAGGACAACAUCGGGGCUCCACUCUGCACACAACCCUUCCCAAACCCAGGAGGCCCUGUGGUCUACCUGCUUUCUAUGUUCAUCUUUCACCUCACCCCAUGGAUGUCUGGGUCUGUAAGUUCUCUGACACCAUGAGCCACACCUAUUCCUCCCCCGCCCCAGGAUGCCCAGCACAGCCCUAUCUUCAAAACACAGUAGGUACUCCAUGUUUGUUGAAUGAAUAACAAAUGUCAUUUCAUUCCCUAUUAAUCCUGACACCCAUCAUUGCCCGGGAGCCUGAGGGCUGCUCUGGGAUACCUGACAGAAUGACAAAGCAUGACCCCAGUGUUUGGGGCAGAUGAUUCUCCAUGGUGCCAACCAGUGUGUGACAGAUGCACUAAGGAACAGGAAGAAUGAGAGCUGCAGGACCAAGGUUUGGUCCCACUCUCUGCCUUCUCCCACUGGAAGAGCUUACCAAGGCAUAAUCUAGUCUCACCUACUCCAAGCCUGACUCCUUUCAGCAGCUGGCCCCGUCCCCAGCUUGGUCCCUCCCCAGAACAGGCUGCAGUGACUUGUCUGAGUCUGCAGCCCCAAGGCCCCCAUGCUGGCUCCCUCAGCCUCCCCCACAUUCAGUCACCAGGGAGGACGGCAAUUAGUCUUCAUUAUGCUGCUCGGCCUAACCUGGCCUGGUGAAAAAACUCCUUGUUCCCCACUUUUCAGAUCAAUGUGGACCUGGCACACAGGAUCCAGAGACUGGCUACACAGGGACUGGGGAGGGCAGAAGAAAACAUUCAGAGCCUGUGAGAGGAGCAGGUCCACUCUUGCCCCCAGAGCAGAGAGACAGCAGGGUCCCCUGGAAACAUGGGGCAGCUGGAAAGAGCAAAGUGAGGAGAAUGGAAAGGGACAAAGGCAUGUGAAAAGGCCACAACAAUGGGGCAAAUGGAGGGGCAAGAGGGAAACGAAGAAAAUGCGAUGUCUCUUUGGUAUGUCCUGAUGUGCGCUUUGUUCUGUAUCAUUUCCUUGGAACACCCCUGUGGGAUACCCCACAUGGCAGGGGUGGUGGUAAAGGGUAAGAGGAGCUGGAGGUAGAAGAAAGGAGGGCUGAAGGGAAAUGCUGAGCAUUUACCUAUUCUCUUUCCUUUCCCAAACCUUGGUCUCAUCUGCACUGAGAGCAUCAGAUCCUGGAUUUCAGUUCUGGGAGUCAGAGGCAGGACCUUGGCUUUGCUGAACUAAGGGCCGUCCAGGGAUUUCAAGGUCUCUCAGAUAGCACUAAGCCCUUGUUUUCCUACCUGCACUCAAACACCCCAAGAGUGAAGUCAGGGUCUGUCUUCAGGAUCUGUAAGUCCUCUGAGAUUAUAAGCCAUGGCUGUUCCCACAUAACAUCAACAUAGGGGAUGCCCAGCCUAGUCCAUUAUCAGAAGGCAACUGGUCUACCCUUCAAAAUCCAAUACCCUGCCUUCCUGCUGCCAUUCCACAGGUAUGUAACACAGCCCUGGCUCAGGGACACUAACAACCAACAGGCAGGGUAACUCCCCAAGCUUCCCAACCCUGGGGCAGAAAGAGUCCCUGCCCCUCUCUCAUCAGGCCCUUGAUACUUCAGAAGCAAGUGCAAAAGGGGCAGAUUCUACCAGGACCUCUGGAGAAACAAUUCUGCUGACGGUACCCAAGGAAAAGAAGGGAGAGAAAUGGGGAGGGUCCCUACAGAAGGAGGGUGACGGUCAAUAAAGAAGUGAGCUUAGGGGGCAUAGUGAAAGAGAGAAGGAACACAGGGCAGUAGCAGGGAUCUCACCCUCCCUCCCCAGGAAGCAGGGGCUCCAAGGCUUUGAUCCUCAGUCCCUAAGCAAUGCCAUCCCUGCCCUUUCACUCUGUAGAUGGAGAUACUAGCUAAGCACUGGGAAAGGCAGCUCUUCAUGGUCCCCACCACAUCCUUCUAUUGGACUUUGAGAUUAUUUUCUUUGUUGCCAUCCUGUGAGUUAAUUUACCUCUAUGAAAUCAGUUCUUUCUUCCUUUCUUUCUUCCUAAAAUCCUCAAGCCAGUCUCCUUUCUUUUGCCGCUUCAUGUUUUGCCCCCGCUGAUCUGAAAAAUGUGCCUGAGCUUACGUGUCCUGGGGGCUGGACAGGUGGCAGUGAGAGUGUGGGCGGAGGGGGCUGUUCCCUAGCAGAGAUGACCAGGCGCUGAUACAUCCCCCCG